rnacentral:rRNA from 1 species
UACGUAGGGUGCAAGCGUUAAUCGGAAUUAUUGGGCGUAAAGCGCGCGCAGGCGGUUCCUUAAGUCUGAUGUGAAAGCCCACGGCUCAACCGUGGAGGGUCAUUGGAAACUGGGGAACUUGAGUGCAGAAGAGGAGAGUGGAAUUCCACGUGUAGCGGUGAAAUGCGUAGAGAUGUGGAGGAACACCAGUGGCGAAGGCGACUCUCUGGUCUGUAACUGACGCUGAGGCGCGAAAGCGUGGGGAGCAAACAGG